rnacentral:rRNA from 1 species
UGAGACACGGUCCAGACUCCUACGGGAGGCAGCAGUAGGGAGUAUUUGGCAAUGGGGGAAACCCUGACCGAGCAACGCCGCGUGUGCGAUGGAGUCCCUCAGGGACGUGAAGCACUGUGGGGGGCCGCCAAACGGGCGGGCAGGAAAUGGCCCGUCCCCGAGGAGCCCCCUAGAAAGCGACUGCUAACCACGUGCCAGCAGCAGCGGUAAUACGUGGGUCGCAAGCGUUAUCCGGAAUCAUUGGGCGUAAAGAGUGAGCAGGCGGUCCGGGAAGUCCGCGGUGAAAUGCGGGGGCUCAACCCCCGCAGGCCGCGGAUACUUCCGGUCUGGGGUGCGGGAGAGGCGGACGGAACUCCGCGUGUAGCGGUGAAAUGCACUGAUACGCGGAAGAACACCGGUGGCGAAGGCGGUCCGCCAGACCGAUACCGACGCUCAGUCACGAAAGCGUGGGGAGCAAAUAGGAUUAGAUACCCUAGUAGUCCACGCCGUAAACGAUGGGGGCCAGGGCGCGGGGUCGACCCGCGUCCGAAGCAAACGCAUUAAGCCCCCCGCCUGGGUACUACGUUCGCAAGAAUAAAACUUAAAGGAAUUGGCGGGUGCCCGCACAAGCAGUGGAGCAUGCGGUUCAAUUCGUGGCUACACGUAGAACCUUACCAGGGUUUGACAUGCCGGCAAAGGCCCCGGAGACGGGGAGAUAGCUAUGCCGGACAAAGGUGGUGCAUGGCUGUCGUCAGCUCGUGUCGUGAGAUGUUAGGUCAAGUCCUCCAACGAGCGCGACCCCCGCCGCCAGUUGCCAUCAUCAGGUUGGGCACUCUGGCGGGACCGCCGGCGACAAGCCGGAGGAAGGCGGGGAUGACGUCAAGUCAUCAUGCCCCUUAUGCCCUGGGCCACACGCGUGCUACAAUGGCCGGCACAGUGGGAAGCGACGCCGCGAGGCGGAGCGGAUCCCAAAAGCCGGUCCCAGUACGGACCGGGGGCUGCAACCCGCCCCCGCGAAGCUGGAAUUGCUAGUAAUCGCGGAUCAGCCAAGCCGCGGUGAAUGCGUUCUCGGGCAUUGCACACACUGCCCGUCACACCAUGAAAGCCUGCAACGCUCUAAGUCGCCAGCCCGACCCGAAAGGGGGGGCGGCGCCCAAGGCGGGGCCGGUGAUUGGGGUUAAGUCGAAACAAGGUAUCCCUACGAGAACGUGGGGAUG